rnacentral:lncRNA from 12 species
GAGACACAGAAAAUGCAAACCACUGGUUCCUGUCCUGUAUCAUCCCACUGGAGGGUGACACUGAAGGAGAACAGAACUGUGGAAAUGGCACCAUGGCUGUUGGGUGCAUUGAGCUGAGGCCCACUGAUGUUUUUGGUUAAGUGUUGGUUAACAAGGCCGAAGUUCUAC